UGGGGAAUAUUGGACAAUGGGCGCAAGCCUGAUCCAGCAAUGCCGCGUGUGUGAAGAAGGCCCGCGGGUUGUAAAGCACUUUCAGCAGGGAAGAAAAACCCCGCGUUAACAGCGCGGGGGUUUGACGUCACCUGCACAAGAAGCACCGGCUAAUUCCGUGCCAGCAGCCGCGGUAAUACGGAAGGUGCAAGCGUUAAUCGGAAUUACUGGGCGUAAAGCGCGCGUAGGCGGUUCGAUAAGUCGGAUGUGAAAUCCCCGGGCUUAACCUGGGAAUUGCAUUCGAUACUGCCGGACUAGAGUACGGUAGAGGGAAACGGAAUUCCGGGUGUAGCGGUGAAAUGCGUAGAUAUCCGGAGGAACACCAGUGGCGAAGGCGGUUUCCUGGCCCGAUACUGACGCUGAGGCGCGAAAGCGUGGGGAGCAAACAGGAUUAGAUACCCCCGUAGUCC
rnacentral:rRNA from 1 species